AUACGGAGGGUGCGAGCGUUAAUCGGAAUUACUGGGCGUAAAGCGCGCGCAGGUGGCUAGAUAAGUCGGAUGUGAAAGCCCUGAGCUUAACUUGGGAACUGCAUUCGAUACUGUCUAGCUAGAGUAUGGUAGAGGGAAGCGGAAUUCCGGGUGUAGCGGUGAAAUGCGUAGAUAUCCGGAGGAACACCAGUGGCGAAGGCGGCUUCCUGGACCAAUACUGACGCUCAGGCGCGAAAGCGUGGGGAGCAAACAGGAUUAGAAACCCCUGUAGUCC
rnacentral:rRNA from 1 species